AAAUUUUUGCGGGUGUGCCUUUAUAUUUGAGGCUGAGAGGAUUCUUUCCAAACCCUAGAACCUGAUGUAGUUAAAACUAACGUAGGGAAGCAAAAGUAUAAAUUCA
rnacentral:ncRNA from 2 species